GACGAACGCUGGCGGCGUGCUUAACACAUGCAAGUCGAGCGAUGAAGCACCUUCGGGUGUGAAUUAGCGGCGAACGGGUGAGGAACACGUGAGAAAUCUGCCUUCAACACUGGGAUAACUCCGGGAAACCGGGGCUAAUACCGGAUAUGAAACCUGCGGGCAUCCGCGGGUUUGGAAAGUUUUUCGGUUAAAGAUGAUCUCGCGGCCUAUCAGCUUGUUGGUGAGGUAAUGGCUCACCAAGGCGACGACGGGUAGCCGGCCUGAGAGGGCGACCGGCCACACUGGGACUGAGACACGGCCCAGACUCCUACGGGAGGCAGCAGUGGGGAAUAUUGGGCAAUGGAGGAAACUCUGACCCAGCGACGCCGCGUGCGGGAUGAAGGCCUCGGUUGUAACGCUUCAGCAGGGAAGAAGACGAAAGUAGACGGUACCUCGCAGAAGAAAGCACCGGCGUAACUAUGUG
rnacentral:rRNA from 1 species